AUUGAACGCUGGCGGCAGGCCUAACACAUGCAGGUCGAACGGUAACAGGAAGCAGCUUGCUGCUUUGCUGACGAGUGGCGGACGGGUGAGUAAUGUCUGGGAAACUGCCUGAUGGAGGGGGAUAACUACUGGAAACGGUAGCUAAUACCGCAUAACGUCGCAAGACCAAAGAGGGGGACCUUCGGGCCUCUUGCCAUCGGAUGUGCCCAGAUGGGAUUAGCUAGUAGGUGGGGUAACGGCUCACCUAGGCGACGAUCCCUAGCUGGUCUGAGAGGAUGACCAGCCACACUGGAACUGAGACACGGUCCAGACUCCUACGGGAGGCAGCAGUGGGGAAUAUUGCACAAUGGGCGCAAGCCUGAUGCAGCCAUGCCGCGUGUAUGAAGAAGGCCUUCGGGUUGUAAAGUACUUUCAGCGGGGAGGAAGGGAGUAAAGUUAAUACCUUUGCUCAUUGACGUACCCGCAGAAGAGC
rnacentral:rRNA from 1 species